rnacentral:rRNA from 1 species
AGCAGCCGCGGUAAUUCCAGCUCCAAUAGCGUAUAUUAAAGUUGUUGCAGUUAAAAAGCUCGUAGUUGAAUUUCGGGAUUAGCAAGUUGGUCGUGCCUUCGGUAUGCACUGGCUUUGCUGAUUCCUCCUUCUUGAAGAACUGUAAUGCUAUUAAUUUAGUGUUGCAGGGAAACAGGACUGUUACUUUGAAAAAAUUAGAGUGUUUAAAGCAGGCUAACGCUUGAAUACAUUAGCAUGGAAUAAUGAAAUAGGACGUUUGAUCCUAUUUUGUUGGUUUCUAGGAUUGACGUAAUGAUUAAUAGGGAUAGUUGGGGGCAUUAGUAUUCAAUUGUCAGAGGUGAAAUUCUUGGAUUUAUUGAAGACUAACUACUGCGAAAGCAUUUGCCAAGGAUGUUUUCAUUAAUCAAGAACGAAAGUUAGGGGAUCGAAGACGAUCAGAUACCGUCGUAG